UCAAGCUACUAAGGGCAUACGGUGGAUGCCUAGGCGCCAGGAGCCGAAGAAGGACGCGGUAAGCUGCGAAAAGCCACGGGGAACUGCAAGCGAGUAUUGAUCCGUGGAUAUCCGAAUGGGGAAACCCGGCCAUCGUAAUGGAUGGUCAUCCGCAAGGAAGGGAACCCGGGGAACUGAAACAUCUAAGUACCCGGAGGAAAAGAAAUCAAACGAGAUGCCCACAGUAGCGGCGAGCGAAGAGGGCAGAGCCCAAACCUGUAAGCUACGGCUUAUGGGGGUUGAGGACUGACGUAAUUAAGGCCAGGCUUAGCUGAACUACCUGGGAAGGUAGGCGAUAGAAGGUAAGAGCCCUGUAAGCGAAAGGCAGAGCCUUAAGGUCAGUAUCCAGAGUACCACGGAGCACGAGGAAUUCUGUGGGAAGCAGGGGGGACCACCCUCCAAGGCUAAAGACUAACUGGCGACCGAUAGCGCAUAGUACCGUGAGGGAAAGGUGAAAAGAACCCCGGGAGGGGAGUGAAAUAGUACCUGAAACCGUAUGUCUACAAGCAGUCGGAGCGAAAGCGACGGCGUGCCUAUUGAAGAAUGAACCAACGAGUUAUCUGCACUAGCGAGGUUAAGUGGAAGACACGGAGCCGUAGCGAAAGCGAGUCUGAAAAGGGCGACGAGUUAGUGUAGGUAGACCCGAAACCGCAGUGAUCUACCCAUGUCCAGGUUGAAGCGCAGGUAAAAAUGCGUGGAGGACCGAACCGGUGAGCGUUGAAAAGCUUUCGGAUGAGAUGUGGGUAGGGGUGAAAUUCCAAUCGAACGCGGAGAUAGCUGGUUCUCCCCGAAAUAGCUUUAGGGCUAGCCUCAGGUAGUAAGUAUAGGCGGUAGAGCACUGAUCGGGCUAGGGGCCAUAAAGGUUACCGAACCCUGUCAAACUCCGAAUGGAUAUACUGCAGAGCCUGGGAGUCAGACUACGAGUGAUAAGAUCCGUGGUCAAAAGGGAAACAGCCCAGACCACCGGCUAAGGUCCCAAAUGCCGUACUAAGUGGAAAAGGAUGUGGGGAUUCAUAAACAACCAGGAUGUUGGCUCAGAAGCAGCCACCAUUUAAAGAGUGCGUAAUAGCUCACUGGUCGAGAGUCCCUGCGCCGAAAAUUUCCGGGGCUAAAGUACGGAACCGAAGCCGUGGCUGUGUACUUAGGUGCACGGGGUAGGGGAGCGUUGCCACAGGGGUGAAGCUGGUCUGGAAGGACUGGUGGACUUGUGGGAAGUGAGAAUGUUGGUAUGAGUAGCGAAAAGAAAGGUGAGAAUCCUUUCCACCGAAAGCAUAAGGAUUCCUGAGCAACGAUCGUCGUCUCAGGGUAAGUCGGGACCUAAUCCGAGGCAAAGAGCGUAGGAGAUGGACAACAGGUUGAUAUUCCUGUACCGGCAGCAAUUGUUUGAGCGAAGGAGUGACACAGAAGGGCAGGCAGGCGCGAGACUGGAUUGUCGCGUGCAAGCGUGUAGGGUAGUGUACAGGCAAAUCCGUACACUGAGAGCCUGAGGCGUUACGCGGAGCGAGCAGAGAUGCGAGCGAAGCUGCUGAUCCCACACUGUCGAGAAAAGCUUCUAGUGAGAGAGCUGCCGCCCGUACCGUAAACCGACACAGGUAUGCGGGGAGAGAAUCCUAAGGUGCGCGGGAGAACCCUCGUUAAGGAACUCGGCAAAAUGUACCCGUAACUUCGGGAUAAGGGUAGCCGUCUUGGUGAAGGAACUAGCUUCUGGAGCUGAAGGCGGUCGCAGAGAAGAGGCCCAAGCGACUGUUUACCACAAACACAGGUGCCUGCUAAAGCGAAAGCUGACGUAUAGGUGCUGACACCUGCCCAGUGCUGGAAGGUUAAGGAAGGAUGUCCGGGCAACCAAAGCAUUCGACCGAAGCCCCAGUGAACGGCGGCCGUAACUAUAACGGUCCUAAGGUAGCGAAAUUCCUUGUCGGGUAAGUUCCGACCCGCACGAAAGGUGUAACGAUUUGGGCACUGUCUCAACGAGGGACCCGGUGAAAUUGAAAUACCUGUGAAGAUGCAGGUUACCCGCGACUGGACAGAAAGACCCCAUGGAGCUUUACUGUAACCUGACAUUGGGUUUUGUUGUAUUACGUACAGGAUAGGUGGGAGGCUUGGAAGGCUGGACGCUAGUCUGGCUGGAGCCGGCGUUGGGAUACCACCCUUGAUACAACGGAAUUCUAACCGAGAGAGUAACGAAAUCCGGGACAGUGUCAGGCGGGCAGUUUGACUGGGGCGGUCGCCU
rnacentral:rRNA from 1 species